rnacentral:rRNA from 1 species
GAUGAACGCUGGCGGCGUGCUUAACACAUGCAAGUCGAACGGAAAGGCUCCUGCUUGCAGGGGUACUCGAGUGGCGAACGGGUGAGUAACACGUGGGUGAUCUGCCCUGCACUUCGGGAUAAGCCUGGGAAACUGGGUCUAAUACCGGAUAGGACGAUGGUUUGGAUGCCAUUGUGGAAAGUUUUUUCGGUGUGGGAUGAGCUCGCGGCCUAUCAGCUUGUUGGUGGGGUAAUGGCCUACCAAGGCGUCGACGGGUAGCCGGCCUGAGAGGGUGUACGGCCACAUGGGGCCGGAGAUCCGGCCGAGCCUCCUACGGGGGGCAGGGGGGGGGAAUAUUGCACAAGGGGCGAAAGCCUGAUGCAGCGACGCCGGGGGGGGGGUGAGGGCCUUCGGGUUGAAAACCCCUUUCGCUGGGGACGAAGCGAAAGUGACGGGACCGGGAGAAGAAGCCCCGGUAAACUACGU